rnacentral:lncRNA from 1 species
UGGUGGUUUUCUAAUUAUUUUUUUUUUUUCAUUUUUAUUUUUUUCAUUUCCUCGCUUUCCCUCUCCCCGCUCUGCCUGUGGUCUUUAGGCAUUUUCAUAGCUGGUGGAAGAGGGCUCUCAGCUGGGGGCUGGAGGCGGGGCAAGGCUCUGAUUCAUUACUGCUUGGAUGGGAAGCACCUUUGAAUAUCAUCUCAAGCAUCGUCUCUGUUCUUCUGUAGCAUAACUGCCUCAUCCUUAAUGACUCUGUUCUUGUUAAGAGGAAGCUUCAUUUGUGAGCUGCAUGCAGCCACUUAACAUGCGCUGUGCAUCUUGCUGACUGUGAGUUACUGUCUCUGUGAUCUCACAAUGCCACGGAGAGUGCAGAGCAGAGACCCUGCAUGCAUUUGCCUCCUAUAGGGUUUCACCCUGCUCUUGUCCUCUGCAAGGCACUCACUGGUGGUGGGCUAUGGGGGAUGCUCUGCCAGCACUUGGGUGCCUGUGUCCUGAGGAUGCUGCAAUAUUUCACCAUCUUCUUCCUACGCGAAGGAAAGGACUGCUGAGCCCACAGACCAGAACUUGUCUUCUAGAGAAUGAUCACUUUGAGCAUCCAUUUGUGCUUUGCACAUCCCAUGCACGAGGGCACGACACCUUUGGCAUCACACCGGCAUGCAACCUGACAGUGGUUUCCCAAAUGAAAUGCCUCGCUGGAAAGUCUCCAUCAAACCUGAACUGGGAAGACUGCCAAUGUCUGGGAUGGGAUCUCCGUUCAAAACCAGCAUGCUGGGGAGCCAGUCUAAAAAGCAAGUAUCUUGUACGGAGGAUUUGCCAUGCAGAGGGAGCUCAGUGCUCCAGUCCCUUCUAGAGGAUUACAAGUUGGGUCCCUUCAGUCUUAUGUCAUUGCCCCAAGCACUGGGCAAAAAGUUAUUGUGGGUCUGUCACUCAUUUGUUGAAAGUUUGCUCCUGCACCAAAGAAACUGCUUUCCCAUGAAUAUUUAAUUGCAACUGAUCUGCUCUAGUGAAAGAUGUUGGUAUUCUCUACAAAACAAAUAUACACUGCG